GUUUUUAUAGUUUAAGUUAAAAUACUGAUUUUGUAAAUCAGUGAUAUGCAAUUUUAAAAACA
rnacentral:tRNA from 1 species